rnacentral:rRNA from 1 species
AUUGAACGCUGGCGGCAUGCCUUACACAUGCAAGUCGAACGGCAGCACGGGUGCUUGCACCUGGUGGCGAGUGGCGAACGGGUGAGUAAUACAUCGGAACGUACCUUAUCGUGGGGGAUAACGCAGCGAAAGCUGUGCUAAUACCGCAUACGCCCUGAGGGGGAAGGCGGGGGAUCGCAAGACCUCGCGCGAUUAGAGCGGCCGAUGCCUGAUUAGCUUGUUGGUGGGGUAAAAGCCCACCAAGGCGACGAUCAGUAGCUGGUCUGAGAGGACGAUCAGCCACACUGGGACUGAGACACGGCCCAGACUCCUACGGGAGGCAGCAGUGGGGAAUUUUGGACAAUGGGGGCAACCCUGAUCCAGCAAUGCCGCGUGAGUGAAGAAGGCCUUCGGGUUGUAAAGCUCUUUUGUCAGGGAAGAAACACCGGCUCUAACACAGUCUGGGAAUGACGGUACCUGAAGAAUAAGCACCGGCUAACUACGUGCCAGCCGCCGCUGUAA